UACGAAGGGGGCUAGCGUUGCUCGGAAUCACUGGGCGUAAAGCGCACGUAGGCGGACUCUUAAGUCGGUGGUGAAAUCCUGGAGCUCAACUCCAGAACUGCCUUCGAUACUGCGGGUCUCGAGUCCGGGAGAGGUGAGUGGAAUUCCUAGUGUAGAGGUGAAAUUCGUAGAUAUUAGGAAGAAACACCAGUGGCGAAGGCGGCUCACUGGCCCGGUACUGACGCUGAGGCGGCGAAAAGCGUGGGGAGCAAACAGGG
rnacentral:rRNA from 1 species